UACUCGUGCAUGGCAUUGUCAGGUUCCAGCAACUGUGUGUGCAGCAAGCAGAAAUGCAGUAUUUAUCUCUGACAGGCAAACAUUCUUAAGCUCGUCGGCAUGAGUGUCCACACUGAACUGGCUAUCAGGGAAAUAGACCCCUGCAUGGGAAAGUCAAGAGCUUCAGAAUCUUCUGCAUUUAUCCAAGACAAGAGAAAAGAAAUUUGAGAAAGUGUACCUGUUUUUCGCCAUCUUCUACUCACUUGCUCUUGGAAUUAACAAAACACACAACCAUACCUAAGUGCAAAGUGGUCGAGAAAUGUAUUUCCUGAUGGGGCAACCACCUUCCAGUGAUAACUUCACACUCUGAAAGGGACAGAUGGAUCAGUUUGUCAAGGUCUGAGCAAACAGUAGGAAUAAAUGGAGUGCUCCGAAGGCAAAUCUGCAGUGGUGUAUUCAAUUUGAUAAAAUCACCUUUGCAUAUUUUUCUCCUGCAUUUCCUGAACCACUCCACUAAGGGAGACAGCCUAGUACUUCUUGACUUUUUUCUCUUCAAAUGGCUGCUUCUGAGUCGCAGAUGUAAAAUAACAGGAAUCAAAGGAUUCGUGGAUCAAGAAAAAUGACUCCAGAUCAUUUCCAGUAGGUUAUUUCCUUGAAGCUGUUCCGCUCUGCCCCCAGGAGGUGUGAUGGAUUUGAACUAAAUGUAAUCAAAACUUUUCACCUGCAUCCUUAUUUCCUGAAAGUAGCUCAGUCCCAUGAAGCUGAACUUUCUGCAGCUGUGAGACCCACGGCAUGGCUGCUUCCUUAGGGGAAAUAAACUCAACGUUUCUCUGAGUCAGAACCACAGAACAACAGUCUCAUGAAAUGCUCUAUGCCAAACAAAAAGCACUCUGCACUCAGAUUUGGGAUGAGGUGUACAUGCUAUCAGCUCUCAGAGGGCGACAGAGCACAUCCAAGCUUCUGGAUCCCCUGCAGCAGAGAAAUCAUUUUAUUCAUAACUCUCUUUAACUUAGCCACUUGUGUUCAUUUUUGAGCGCUGCCUUAACAAAGUAACAACUGGGUAGUUUAGACAACAGAAAUGUAUUGUCUCACAGUUCCGGAGGCUAGAAGUUCAAAGUCAAAGUGUUGGCAGCCCUGUCCUAAGCCUUCCUCCUUGGCUUGUAGAUGGCUGAUUUCAUAUUUACAGGGCAUUCUCCCCAUAUAAGUGUCUAUCUCCAAAUUCCACCUGUUUAUAAAGACACCAGUUAUAGUGGAUUAGAGUCCAUCUAACGACUUCAUUUUAAUUUGAUUACCUCUGUAAAGACCCUGUCUCCAAAUAAGGUCACAUUCUGAGGUACUGAGGUUUAGAACGUACAUCUGAAUUUGAGGAGGGAGAUGUAAUUCAACUGAUUACACCACUGAAUCCUUCUUUUUCCCCAGGUCCUCUAUUAACAACCUGAAGAACACGUUUAGAAAGAUGUUACUGUGGCUUCACAGAUACCAUGCUCUUCUUCAAUGGUUCCCAAAUGCCAUUUGCAGAAUAUAUGCAGAAUCACUGGGAGUGCUUUUUAGAAUUCUAAAUCUGCCAGGCAUGGUGGCUAACACCUGUAAUUCCAGUACUUUGGGAGACCAAGGCAGGCAGAUUGCUUGAGCCCAGG